rnacentral:rRNA from 1 species
AGAGUUUGAUUAUGGCUCAGGAUGAACGCUGGCGGCGUGCUUAACACAUGCAAGUCGAACGGAGUUUAGAUGAAAGCUUGCUUUGACUAAACUUAGUGGCGGACGGGUGAGUAACGCGUGGGUAACCUGCCUUAUACAGGGGGAUAACAGUCGGAAACGACUGCUAAUACCGCAUAAGCGCACGGAAUCGCAUGAUUCAGUGUGAAAAGAUUUAUCGGUAUAAGAUGGACCCGCGUCUGAUUAGCUAGUUGGUGAGGUAACGGCCCACCAAGGCGACGAUCAGUAGCCGGCCUGAGAGGGUGUACGGCCACAUUGGGACUGAGACACGGCCCAAACUCCUACGGGAGGCAGCAGUGGGGAAUAUUGGACAAUGGGGGAAACCCUGAUCCAGCGACGCCGCCGUGAGUGAAGAAGUAUCUCGGUAUGUAAAGCUCUAUCAGCAGGGAAGAUAAUGACGGUACCUGACUAAGAAGCACCGGCUAAAUACGUGCCAGCAGCAGC